rnacentral:rRNA from 1 species
CAGUAGCCGCGGGAAUACGGAGGGUGCAAGCGUUAAUCGGAAUUACUGGGCGUAAAGCGCACGCAGGCGGUCUGACAAGUCAGAUGUGAAAUCCCCGGGCUUAACCUGGGAACUGCAUUUGAAACUGUCAGGCUGGAGUCUUGUAGAGGGGGGUGGAAUUCCAGGUGUAGCGGUGAAAUGCGUAGAGAUCUGGAGGAAUACCGGUGGCGAAGGCGGCCCCCUGGACAAAGACUGACGCUCUGGUGCGAAAGCGUGGGGAGCAAACAGGAUUAGAUACCCCUGUAGUCCCUGUCUCUUAUAC